rnacentral:tRNA from 1 species
GGUUGUGGCUCAGUGGUAGAGCACUCGCCUAGCAUGUGCAAGGCCCUGGGUUCCAUCCUCAGCACCA